AAAGAACUGGUGGGUCUGUACCAUGCACAUACCCAAAAAAGAGCGUGGCACGAGAGAUGACAGAUGACAGCAACAAAACCAGUGUGGGGACUGUGGGGAACUCUCAGGCUGAUUUUAAAGAGGAAGUCUGAAUAGGAAUCAUUUACUACUCCCAUGAUUACACAAGAAAAUGAUAUCAUCAGCAGGAUGAAAGACUGUACAGAGAGACAGUAACAUUCAUUACUUCCCAGCUGAAAUCAGGACUCAACCUGGAAACAAAAGCUUCAGCUCCUCUGCGGUUGGGUAAUUAAAUACAGAAGGGGCUGAACAGAAAAGGCUUUUCAUUUGCCACUACACAGACCCUAAAGUGAGCUGGUGUGGAAGACAGGCUGUGAAGAGGAAGAGCAAGUCAGCACUGAUAUGAAAGACAAGAACUGGAAGGAGCAGCUAUAUUAAAACCUAUUACGAGAUGAGCAACAUCCAGAGAGCCAGGGGAUGGAUCUCAAGUUGAGCUGCUUGAGACAGGCACAGCUUGGAAGUCACAUGUCCAUAACCCACAUCCUGCAGUUGGGCACUCUGAGGUUUAAAACUCAAGCACUUGGGUGAAGCUGAAUCUAAAUUUCUAUGAUUCUUUGAAAAUGCAAUAGCCAGACCUUUUAGGGGUAUUUCAUGGAUGCUGAGGAGUCUGCAAAAGCACUGCAACAGAUCCAGUCCAAGUGUGGGAAAUACUGACCCUGCAGCACCAUCACUCUCAAACACACUUGUUUUAAGUCUACACAAACUGCACCACACAGAGAAACCUGCCCGGAGAAGGCACAGAAACUCUUUCAGACCCUUCACAAGCACCUCUGUGCCAAACAUCCUCCUUGCAAACAUGAAGACAUUCAAAACUUACCUGGGACCCCACAAACAGCCGUCGGCAGCACCGGAGAUCCCAGAUGUGGAGGAAACAGCUGGAGCUCCGACUUCUUCACGAGACAGCUGGAGAUUUCCCAAUAA